UUUUGAUAUUUUACUAAUUGGUGGUUCUCUUUCAGGUGAGACGAUACCUCUGUGCGAGCUCCAAUACUCCUCACGUCCUCACAAAUACUACUUUGUGCGACAACAGCUCUUACACAAGCUGCAAUGCUAUCUACGCCUUGACUUAUACAUUGCGAGUAGUUAGUUCUGUGCGAGCUGCAAUGUGAUAAACGCCCUCACAAACUUUACUUG